AAAAUCAAUGAUUAGGUAGUCAGUGGCAUGCAGGUCAUAGAAGCAUAAAAGCACUGCUUACCCUGAUUGAAAUAGCUCAAUGCUUAUCUCUCAAUGA